CCUUCGCGGCGUGUUUCAGGUGCCCUGCCAGCCCCGACUGGGCAGGGUGAAACUGGGAAGCCGGUGGGCGCCAGCAUGGCGCGAUUCCGGCGCUGCCCCCGCAACGGUGGAUGAGUAAAAGGCCGCGCAGGGCCACUGGAUGCCAGCAUCCGGGAAGGCGCGCAGGCCAGGGCCAAGGCCCACUCACAAGCCCGGAGACCGGCCUGAUACUGCCAACGGCAU
rnacentral:ncRNA from 18 species